rnacentral:misc_RNA from 1 species
GCAAGUGAUAAGGCUGUGUUGUUGCCAACCUUCUUGACAUUGUUCAGUGAAAGUUCUUUUAAAAGCUCCCCAGCGGUCUCCACAAAUGCAGCAAUAGCUUCAUCACUGAAUGCAUUGAGACACAGUUUUAAAGUUUGAAUUCCUCGGCAACCAUUUGCAAGAUAUCCUAAACCAGAAUCUGUCAAUUUCCUCAAGUUAUCAAGGUGAAGCGCACAUAACCCAGGACAGGUUUCAGCUAUAAUCUUCAUGGAAGAAUCAGUCAAUUUCAC